rnacentral:lncRNA from 1 species
GAGGAGUUCUUUCACAAACAUACACUUUGAUUAUGAAAAAUACUAUUAUAAAGCCGAAGAUGGUUAUCAAUGGAUUCCAAACAAAGGUAGCUUGUAUGCUAGUGGAUAGGAUAUGCAAAAAGAUGACAAUAAAUCCAUGUACAAAGAGGUUUAAUUUGAGUUAUAUUUCAUUGAUAGUAAAACUUAUGAGACAAUUGAAGAAGCAUGUGGAAGAUGUUGUUACUCGAGAUAUAGACAAUGUAAGUAUUGAUUUGGAUAACGUGGAGUUGAUUAAGUUGAUUAAGCAUCACACCAUAACUG